ACUCUCAUAAAGCAGGGGAAAAACCAUAAUCUCAAAGGUGGUUUCUGUAGGGUGAAGCUUAUCCAUUGUACUCCAGAUGUGCUGACCCCUGCAAUUUCCCCAAAUGUGGGAAACUCAACUGUAUUAGUGGUACUGGGAGAAUUCAUUCACGCUUUCACCUU